rnacentral:rRNA from 1 species
UACGUAGGUAGCGAGCGUUGUUCGGAAUUACUGGGCGUAAAGAGUGUGUAGGCGGUGCUCUAAGUUCGGUGUGAAAUCUCCUGGCUCAACUGGGAGGGUGCGCCGGAAACUGGAGUGCUUGAGCGUGGGAGAGGAAAGCGGAAUUCCUGGUGUAGCGGUGAAAUGCGUAGAUAUCAGGAGGAACACCUGUGGUGUAGACGGCUUUCUGGACCAUAGCUGACGCUGAGACACGAAAGCGUGGGUAGCAAACAGG